AACGAACGCUGGCGGCGUGCCUAACACAUGCAAGUCGAGCGCGAAAGAGCAAUCUGAGUAGAGCGGCGCACGGGUGCGUAACACGUGGGUAAUCUGCCUCAAGGUCCGGGAUAACCUUCCGAAAGGUUGGCUAAUACCGGUUAAGCUCACGGCGUCUUCGGACGCUGAGAGAAAAGGGCCGGAAACGGGUCGUCGCCAUGAGAUGAGCCCGCC
rnacentral:rRNA from 1 species